rnacentral:rRNA from 1 species
AUGAACGCUGGCGGCGUGCCUAAUACAUGCAGGUCGAGCGAACAGACGAGGAGCUUGCUCCUCUGACGUUAGCGGCGGACGGGUGAGUAACACGUGGAUAACCUACCUAUAAGACUGGGAUAACUUCGGGAAACCGGAGCUAAUACCGGAUAAUAUAUUGAACCGCAUGGUUCAAUAGUGAAAGACGGUUUUGCUGUCACUUAUAGAUGGAACCGCGCCGCAUUAGCUAGUUGGUAAGGUAACGGCUUACCAAGGCAACGAUGCGUAGCCGACCUGAGAGGGUGAUCGGCCACACUGGAACUGAGACACGGUCCAGACUCCUACGGGAGGCAGCAGUAGGGAAUCUUCCGCAAUGGGCGAAAGCCUGACGGAGCAACGCCGCGUGAGUGAUGAAGGUCUUCGGAUCGUAAAACUCUGUUAUUAGGGAAGAACAAAUGUGUAAGUAACUAUGCACGUCUUGACGGUACCUAAUCAGAAAGCCACGGCUAACUACGUG